CCUACGGGGGGCUGCAGUGAGGAAUAUUGGGCAAUGCCCGCAAGGGUGACCCAGCAACGCCGCGUGGAGGAUGAAGGCCGUAAGGUUGUAAACUCCUGUUAGAGGAGAAGAAUAGUACCGAUUGGAUCGGUAUUUGACUGUACCCUCAGAGAAAGCCCCGGCUAACUACGUGCCAGCAGCCGCGGUAAUACGUAGGGGGCAAGCGUUGCCCGGAGUUACGGGGGGGCAGGGGCGAGCAGGAGGGAGCGGUGAAAUCCUACAGCUUAACUGUAGAACUGCCUUUGAUACUGUUAGUCUUGAGUGCGGGAGAGAGAGACGGAAUUCCAGGUGUAGUGGUGAAAUACGUAGAUAUCUGGAAGAACACCAGUUGCGAAGGCGGUCUCGUGGUCCGAUACUGACGCUGAGGCGCGAAAGCGUGGGGAGCAAACAGGAUUAGAUACCCGUGUAGUC
rnacentral:rRNA from 1 species